rnacentral:rRNA from 1 species
CGGGAAACUGGGGAUAAUACCGGAUAUGUGUAGUUGCCUGGAAUUGGUACUUCAUUGAAAUGCUCCGGCGCCUAAGGAUUGAUCUUCGUCAGAUUCGGUAGUUGGCGGGGUAAAUGCCCACCAAGCCAGUAAUCUGUACGGGUUGUGAGAGCAAGAGCCCGGAGAUGGAACCUGAGACAAGGUUCCAGUCCCUACGGGGCGCAGCAGGCGCGAAACCUCCGCAAUGCGAGCAAUCGCGACGGGGGAAACCCAAGUGCCACUCUUAACGGGGUGGCUUUUCUGAAGUGUAAAAAGCUUCAGGAAUAAGAGCUGGGCAAGACCGGUGACAGCCGCCGCGGUAAUA